rnacentral:rRNA from 1 species
AACUUGAGAGUUUGAUCAUGGCUCAGAACGUACGCUGGCGGCACGCCUAACACAUGCAAGUCGAACGAAGUAGCAAUACUUAGUGGCAGACGGGUGAGUAACAUGUAGGUAUCUGCCCUUUGGCCUGGAAUAACACGAGGAAACUUGUGCUAAUACCGGAUAAGUCUUUACGGAGAAAGCUUUAUGCACCAUUGGAUGAGCCUGCACUUGAUUAGUUUGUUGGUGGGGUAAUGGCCUACCAAGACUGUGAUCAAUAGCUGAUUUGAGAGGAUGAUCAGCCACAUUGGGACUGAGACACGGCCCAAACUCCUACGGGAGGCAGCAGUGGGGAAUCUUGCACAAUGGAGGAAACUCUGAUGCAGCGAUGCCGCGUGAGUGAAGAAGGCCCUUGGGUUGUAAAGCUCUUUCGUCGGGGAAGAAAAUGACUGUACCCGAAUAAGAAGGUCCGGCUAACUUCGUGCCAGCAGCCGCGGUAAUACGAAGGGACCUAGCGUAGUUCGGAAUUACUGGGCUUAAAGAGUUCGUAGGUGGUUGAAAAAGUUGGUGGUGAAAUCCCAGAGCUUAACUCUGGAACUGCCAUCAAAACUUUUCAGCUAGAGUAUGAUAGAGGAAAGCAGAAUUUCUAGUGUAGAGGUGAAAUUCGUAGAUAUUAGAAAGAAUACCAAUUGCGAAGGCAGCUUUCUGGAUCAUUACUGACACUGAGGAACGAAAGCAUGGGUAGCGAAGAGGAUUAGAUACCCUCGUAGUCCAUGCCGUAAACGAUGUGUGUUAGACGUUGGAAAUUUAUUUUCAGUGUCGCAGCGAAAGCGAUAAACACACCGCCUGGGGAGUACGACCGCAAGGUUAAAACUCAAAUGAAUUGACGGGGACCCGCACAAGUAGUGGAGCAUGUGGUUUAAUUCGAAGAUACGCGCAGAACCUUACCAACACUUGACAUGUUCGUCGCGACUCUAAGAGAUUAGAGUUUUCGGUUCGGCCGGACGAAACACAGGUGCUGCAUGGCUGUCGUCAGCUCGUGUCGUGAGAUGUUGGGUUAAGUCCCGCAACGAGCGCAACCCUCACUUUUAGUUGCCAUCAUUAAGUUGGGCACUCUGAAAGAACUGCCAGUGAUAAGCUGGAGGAAGGUGGGGAUGACGUCAAGUCCUCAUGGCCCUUACGUGUUGGGCUACACACGUGCUACAAUGGUAUCUACAACAGGAAGCAAGACUGCGAGGUCAAGCAAAUCCCUAAAAGAUACCUCAGUUCGGAUUGCACUCUGCAACUCGAGUGCAUGAAGCUGGAAUUACUAGUAAUCGUGGAUCAGCGUGCCACGGUGAAUGCGUUCCCGGGUCUUGUACACACCGCCCGUCACACCAUGGGAGUUGGUUCUACCUUAAGGCAAGGUUUAAAACCCUUGACCACGGUAUAGUCAGCGACUGGGGUGAAGUCGUAACAAGGUAGCCGUAGGGGAACCUGCGGCUGGAUUACCUCCUUUCUAA